CCAAGUGGAACCCCACUGCAGGGGUGGCUUUUGAAUAUGAUCCCGACAAUGCCCUGAGGCACACAGUGUACCCCAAGCCUGAGGAAUGGCCAAAGAGUGAAUACUCAGAGCUGGAUGAGGACGAGUCACAGGCUCCCUAUGACCCCAAUGGCAAGCCAGAAAGGUUUUACUACAACGUGGAGUCCUGUGGUUCUCUGCGCCCUGAAACCAUUGUUCUCUCAGCUCUCUCUGGAUUAAAGAAGAAGCUGAGUGAUUUACAGACUCAGUUAAGCCACGAGAUCCAAAGUGAUGUGCUGACCAUAAACUAGCUUCAGCUCACCUAUUUCAGCAAAAGUGGGGAUUCCAGAUAGUAGUUGGGUUUCAGGUCUUUGACACCUUCUGGUUUGGGGUCUCUGGACUGCUAUUCAAGCCUCAUGACAGGCCAUCAGUGUCAGCCAGAGGGGGGCUGCAGAUUACCAGGGAUGCCACUGGAAUUUAGGGUAGGACAGUUUUUACUAGACAGUUAGCAUGCCUGUCCCUAUUUGUUAAGGCCCAGUGGUAUUCCCCAGCACCCAGAACAUCCCUCCCAUCCCAUUUCC